CAUAACGACUCUCGGCAACGGAUAUCUCGGCUCUCGCAUCGAUGAAGAACGUAGCGAAAUGCGAUACUUGGUGUGAAUUGCAGAAUCCCGUGAACCAUCGAGUCUUUGAACGCAAGUUGCGCCCGAAGCCUCUCGGCCGAGGGCACGCCUGCCUGGGCGUCACGCA
rnacentral:rRNA from 1 species